UACGUAGGGUGCAAGCGUUAUUCGGAAUUACUGGGCGUAAAGCGUGCGCAGGCGGCUUUGCAAGACAGAUGUGAAAUCCCCGGGCUCAACCUGGGAACUGCAUUUGUGACUGCAUGGCUGGAGUGCGGCAGAGGGGGAUGGAAUUCCGCGUGUAGCAGUGAAAUGCGUAGAUAUGCGGAGGAACACCGAUGGCGAAGGCAAUCCCCUGGGCCUGCACUGACGCUCAUGCACGAAAGCGUGGGGAGCAAACAGG
rnacentral:rRNA from 1 species